UACGUAGGGUGCGAGCGUUAAUCGGAAUUACUGGGCGUAAAGCGUGCGCAGGCGGUGAGCUGUGUCCGAUGUGAAAGCCCCGGGCUUAACCUGGGAAUGGCAUUGGAAACUGGCUCGCUGGAGUGUGGCAGAGGGGGGUGGAAUUCCGCGUGUAGCAGUGAAAUGCGUAGAGAUGCGGAGGAACACCGAUGGCGAAGGCAGCCCCCUGGGUUAACACUGACGCUCAGGCACGAAAGCGUGGGGAGCAAACAGG
rnacentral:rRNA from 1 species